rnacentral:misc_RNA from 1 species
AAGGAGUCUAACAUAUCUGCGAGUAUUUGGGUGUCAAACCCGAGUGCGCAAUGAAAGUGAACGUAGGAGCCACGCGCAAGCUGCAGCUUCGACCGAUCUGGAUCUUUAGUGAUGGAUUUGAGUAAGAGCAUAUAUGUUGGGACCCGAAAGAUGGUGAACUAUGCCUGAAUAGGGCGAAGCCAGAGGAAACUCUGGUGGAGGCUCGUAGCGAUUCUGACGUGCAAAUCGAUCGUCAAAUUUAGGUAUAGGGGCGAAAUCCUCAUCGCACCAUCUAGUAGCUGGUUCCUGC